GACGAACGCUGGCGGCGUGCUUAACACAUGCAAGUCGAACGGAGAGGCCCUGCUUUUGUGGGGUGCUCGAGUGGCGAACGGGUGAGUAACACGUGAGUAACCUGCCCUUGACUUUGGGAUAACGUCAGGAAACUGGGGCUAAUACCGGAUAGGAGCUCCUGCUGCAUGGUGGGGGUUGGAAAGUUUCGGCGGUUGGGGAUGGACUCGCGGCGUAUCAGCUUGGUGGUGGGGUAGUGGCUUACCAAGGCUUUGACGGGUAGCCGGCCUGAGAGGGUGACCGGCCACAUUGGGACUGAGAUACGGCCCAGACUCCUACGGGAGGCAGCAGUGGGGAAUAUUGCACACUGCGCGGAAGCCUGAUGCAGCAACGCCGCGUGCGGGAUGAAGGCCUUCGGGUUGUAAACCGCUUUCGCCUGUGACGAAGCGUGAGUGACGGUAAUGGGUAAAGAAGCACCGGCUAACUACGUG
rnacentral:rRNA from 1 species